UUUCCUCAUGUCCAGCCUAAACUGCCCUUGCUGCAAUUAAGCCCAUUGCUUCUUGUCCUAUCCUCAGAGGUUAAGAAGAAACAGUUUUCCUCCCUCCUCCUCGUAACAACCUUUAAUGUGCUUGAAAAUGUAGACCCGAGAGAGUCGUUUUCAUCACUGUUUCAGAAAGAGUGUUUGGCUUGUUGGAGUAUGGUGUCCUGUCAAGUUUUCUGAAAUGGUAUUGGAAACAGUUUUGUCUGAUCUAUCAUUCAAACCAUUUCCAUAGCAGUUUAGGGAAAACCAAUGUAAGCACUUUUCCAGUGUGGACCCAGGUGAGUGAUCCAUCCAAUAUAGUAAGUAGCCCAUCUCUGACAGUGACAGCACUAGAUACUGCAGAAGAAGAGUGCACAAAGCUUAGUAAUGGACAAUAAAAAGAGACAAGGUGGAUGAGGUAUAUCUUUUAUUGGACCAGUUUCUGUUGAUGAAAGAAAACUCUGGGCAAGCUCAAAAGCUUGUCUCUUUCACCAACAGAAGUUGGUUCAAUAAAAGAUAUUACCUCACCCACCUUGUCUCUCUAUAUCCUGGGACCACCAAGGUUAGAACAACACUGCAGAUGACACACACAAAAAGAGCAUUAAAAGAAUUGUCCCUAUCCAUCUCUGGCAGAUUAAAUUCCUUAAAGACAUGCUAUCAGCUUGACUUUUUAAAAUAAAUUGUUUGGAAACAUAGUUUCACAGACAGUGCCUUUUAAAUAGAAUGACCUGAAUUUUAAAAAAAUGCCUUUGGACAAGUAAUAAAAAAAGGGAAGUUUCUUGCUGAUACUUAGAGGGGGUGUUUGGUGUUGUUCUCAGGUCCAGCCAAAAGGUGUUUAACUCUGCCCCCUCCUUCUUCCCCUUUUUCUUUGAGCAUGUGCCCCCUUUUCAGUUUUCUUUCUUGUUACUUGUACUAGCAAACACCUUUGUGCAAGUGAGGUUCCCCUGCAGAGCACUGUACAAGAAUAACCUCAUCAUGCUAGUGCAUGAGGGAGGAAGUGCAGUUGACGAUACACGAAGUGCUGUUAAGUGCACAAAUAAACUGAACAAAAAGGGGUUUUCUUUAAUCUUCACUUUCAGUAAAGUUAAAUGCAGGUUAUUACAAUAGUAGGUACAAAAUGUUCAGAUGGAACUGUGGUUUUUCAAGUAUCAUUUUAUAUCUUUUCCAUAAAAAAGACAGCAAACAGAAAAAGAACAUUCUGCCGCUUCUUCUGCUCCACUGUCUCAGAAACUCCAAAAAGAUGAGGAUAACUUAUUUUUGGGCAAACUUAAAGUGAGACUUUUUCCCAGCGAUUUUGGCAGUGUUAGAUUUGUUACAAUCUCCUCCAUGGACAAAAGUAGAUUUAGCUAGUGACUUAGCUACCAGAGACUGUGUAUAAACCCAGGUACCACUGUUUACCUGGAUAUCGUUGUAUUCAAGUUGUAACGCAGUUUUAUAUUAAGUAGCCAUGACCAAACACAAUCCAUAUAUUUUCUCACCCCACCACUUAACGACUGCUGCUACAAACUCCAGAAAGUGAAGUGCUGUGUUGUUCUACAGUCAAGGCUGUCUAUAAAUUUAAUAAUCUCUCUAAAUGUAUAGCGUUUGAUUAUUUUCUUCAUUCUUAUUGCUAUAACAUUUCAGUGUUUUACUUAAAAUAGUUUGCAAUAUUACCUGGAAACAGAAGCAAAAGAUGAGUCUACUAAAACUUUUCACUUCCAGUAGAGGAUCUCAAAAUGUUAAUGAAGUUUUACAGUAUCUCUAAGAGAAACCAGGAGUUAAAGUUGAUGCAAAGGGAUUGACUUAGCCAGGUUAACACAGCAAUCAUCAGCAGGUCAGGGACUAUGACCAAUAUCUGUUGAUUCUCAUCCUGUGCUUUAAUACCUAGAUCCUUCCAAUUCUGUUACUUGGCCAUUCAUUACUAUUAAUCAUGUUUAUUCCUGUAGUGCCUAUGGGUCAACCAAGAAUAGGGUCCCAUUGUGCUAAGACACAUAGUCCCUGUCCUGAAGAGCUUGCUGUUAUGGGUUGGGUUACAGGCUUCUUAUGCCACGCAUGCUGCUGCCUUAUAUUUGGAAUAAAUGUAAAGAAACCGUUGUAAUCAGAUGGCUGAAACAACAACAGUAACACCCCAAAACACAGGCACAUGGAAAAGCUGAGUAGAAGCUUAAUCUAAGAGGGUUCAAAUGCAAGGGCUAGAGCAUUAAUUGAUGGAACCAUUUUGGUCAGCAUGUAAGUAUCUGUUUGAGAGGGGCGGCAAAGGGAGAGAUACAGAGAGAAGCAGAACGAAAGCCAAGCAGAUACAGCCUGGAAGCAUGGUGGGUGGCCCUGGGAUAAGCCUAGAGAAAAAAGAAAAGGAUUUGCAUCAGAGUGCUGGCUGAAAGAGUUUGAUGCUAUGAGCAGGGAAGCUGUUUGCUGAUUUUUGGUUCCUUCUGUGUUUGGAGAAACAGGACUUAAAUUCUUUGUAAAUAACAAGAUUGAAUCAAGAUAUCUGAGUCCAUCAUUAAUUUCUCCCAAGUGGAACAGCAUGAAGGGCCCCAAACUUAGACUAGCCACUUGGUCAAAAGGGAUAACAUUACUAUCUAAAUAGAGCAGGUGAACACAAGGUACGGGGAAGUGGUAUAACAGAAAAGCAGGGUGAACAAUGUGAUGGCAGCAAAUGUAAUUUGAUGUACAUUCAGAUGUACGUUCUUUUCAGAAAAAAGAUGACUGACUCCAAGCUAGAAAAAGCCCUAUUUACCAGCAGCUCAGGAAACCAAACAUUUUUGUUCUAGGCUUGUGUAAUUUUAAUUAUUUGCUGCCCACUAGACAAGCUGUUGAUGAGCACUUAAAAAUCCUUGGUUCAGCAUGUGGCUGAAAAUGAAAACUGGCCUUUUGUCACUUUCUUUGCAAAUGCCACCUAAGGGCAUAACAAAUGGAUGAUUUGCCCAUCUAGCUCCUUUGCUGAAUUAAUCUUCUGGCUUUGUUCAUCCAGAUGACACAAUUAUUUAGCAAAAAGAAAAGGAGUACUCGUGGCACCUUAGAGACUAACAAUUUAUUUGAGCACAAGGUUUCGUGAGCUACAGCUCACUUCAUCGGAUGCAUUCAGUGGAAAAUACAAUUAUUUAAGUUAAUCAAGACACGUGGAGACUGAGGAAUUUCAGAGGGACCUAACAAAGCUAGCUGAAUGGGCAACACAAUGGUAGAUUAAAUAUUAAUAGGUCCAAAGUAAUAUUGCUUCCGAAACUGACAAGCUGUCUGUGUGUACCCUGCUGACACGCGUUAACUGUCUGUUAAUGUACUUUGAUCUAGUCCCAUUCAAGAGGAUAGAUCAAAGCGCAUUACCCAGGUGUUAAUGCGUGUCAACAGGGUCCGCACAGAGUUAGUCGGUGCAGGCUAGAUUCAAACCCCGCAGCUUGUUGCAAACUAAAGGUUCAUGUAGCUAAGCCCUGAUAAUACUGGACUAAAUGGACCACUAGUUUGAUCCAGUAUGAGAAGUCCUAUAUUCUUAUCCUCUGUACAAACGUGUCAAAUUAGCAGUUAAAAUAACAAUAGGGAUUAGUAAUGCAGUAAAGUGAAAUGUACGUUUUAUGUUGAUCAAGGAGUGAAUUAACCUCCUUUAAAAUGAUUUCACUUAAGUGAGCCCCAUCACGUUCUAAUUGAGUUGGGUA